CACGGAGGGUGCAAGCGUUAUUCGGAAUCACUGGGCGUAAAGCGCGCGUAGGCGGUCUCUUAAGUCAGAUGUGAAAGCCCGGGGCUCAACCCCGGAAGUGCAUUUGAAACUAAGGGACUUGAGUAUGGGAGAGGGAAGUGGAAUUCCCGGUGUAGCGGUGAAAUGCGUAGAUAUCAGGAGGAACACCGGUGGCGAUGGCGACUUCCUGGACCAAUACUGACGCUGAGGCGAGAAGGCGUGGGGAGCAAACAGG
rnacentral:rRNA from 1 species